rnacentral:miRNA from 1 species
CUUUCGAGUAACAAUCAGAGUC